rnacentral:rRNA from 1 species
UACGAAGGGGGCUAGCGUUGCUCGGAAUCACUGGGCGUAAAGCGCACGUAGGCGGAUCUUUAAGUCAGGGGUGAAAUCCUGGAGCUCAACUCCAGAACUGCCUUUGAUACUGGGGAUCUCGAGUCCGGGAGAGGUGAGUGGAACUCCGAGUGUAGAGGUGAAAUUCGUAGAUAUUCGGAGGAACACCAGUGGCGAAGGCGGCUCACUGGUCCGGUACUGACGCUGAGGUGCGAAAGCGUGGGGAG